GAUGAACGCUGGCGGCGUGCUUAACACAUGCAAGUCGAACGGAAAGGCCCAAGCUUGCUUGGGUACUCGAGUGGCGAACGGGUGAGUAACACGUGGGUGAUCUGCCCUGCACUUCGGGAUAAGCCUGGGAAACUGGGUCUAAUACCGGAUAGGACGAUGGUUUGGAUGCCAUUGUGGAAAGUUUUUUCGGUGUGGGAUGAGCUCGCGGCCUAUCAGCUUGUUGGUGGGGUAAUGGCCUACAAAGGCGUCGACGGGUAGCCGGCCUGAGAGGGUGUACGGCCACAUUGUGACUGAGAUACGGCCCAGACUCCUACGGGAGGCAGCAGUGGGGAAUAUUGCACAAUGGGCGCAAGCCUGAUGCAGCGACGCCGCGUGUGGGAUGACGGCCUUCGGGUUGUAAACUCCUUUCGCUAGGGACGAAGCGUUUUUGUGACGGUACCUGGAGAAGAAGCACCGGCUAACUACGUG
rnacentral:rRNA from 1 species